GGGCCCGCACAAGCGGUGGAGCAUGUGGUUUAAUUCGAUGAUACGCGAGGAACCUUACCAGGGCUUAAAUGGGAAAUGACAGGGGCAGAGACGCCCCCUUCUUCGGACGGUCUGCAAGGUGCUGCAUGGUUGUCGUCAGCUCGUGCUGUGAAGUGUCAGGUUAAGUCCUAUAACGAGCGCAACCCCUGUUGUUAGUUGCCAGCGAGUAAUGUCGGGAACUCUAGCAAGACUGCCAGUGCAAACUGUGAGGAAGGUGGGGAUGACGUCAAAUCAUCACGGCCCUUACGUCCUGGCUACACACGUGCUACAAUGGUAGAGACAGAGGGCAGCCACCUGGUGACAGGGAGCGAA
rnacentral:rRNA from 1 species